rnacentral:rRNA from 1 species
AGUGAACGCUGGCGGCGUGCUUAACACAUGCAAGUCGAACGAGAACGGAUUAUAGCUUGCUAUAAUUGUCAGCUAAGUGGCGCACGGGUGAGUAAUGUAUAGGUAAUAUGCCUCUUACUAAGGGAUAACAAAUGGAAACGUUUGCUAAUACCUUAUACUCCUUAUUAACAGAAGUUAAUAAGGGACAGAUUUAUUGGUAAGAGAUUAGCCUGUAUUGUAUCAGUUAGUUGGUGGGGUAAUGGCUUACCAAGACUAUGACACAUAACUGGUUUGAGAGGAUGAUCAGUCACACUGGAACUGAGACACGGUCCAGACUCCUACGGGAGGCAGCAGGGGGGAAUAUUGCACAAUGGACGAAAGUCUGAUGCAGCAACGCCGCGUGGAGGAUGACACAUUUCGGUGCGUAAACUCCUUUUAUAUGAGAAGAUAAUGACGGUAUUAUAUGAAUAAGCACCGGCUAACUCCGUGCCAGCAGCCGCGGUAA